UAAUGUAUACUGUAGUAAAAUGCAAUUGAGAAGCUUUAUGCAUACUCUUCAUUUCAUGAUUGUCACUUGGCCACCUGCCACCACAGUCCACUUAUAUCAGGUAGCCACUAUCUACAGGUAGCCACUAUCUACACCCAUAUUUGCCACUCUUAUGACAUUAAAUCAAUAAGCAUAUAAUAAGUGCAAUAAUGUAUAAAAGAAUUAUCUAAUAUGUGGUAACAAUUGAGUUGGGGUAAUGAGUGAUGUUCUGUAUUGAGAAGUGCGUACUGUAUCCUGUUCCCUCCCCCGUGGAUGUUGCUCCUUCACCAAACUCACCGUUUAAGAAUGUCUAAUUAUUCCUCGAAAAUGGUACUCAUUUUCACAGUUUUUUUUUAUUCAAGUUGCAAAGCAUACCAUCAGUGUACAUGACUGACCGUAAAACGUGCUUACGGGAAAUGGUGGGUUGUGUGAAGUGUCGGGUAAAUUAGUUAAGUGUUUUGGGCUUUACUAUAGAAAUGGCAUGCCAUAGCAUAAAAGAACAUAUCUACCCUUCUUUAUAAUAAGGAAAGUUUUGAAAUGAAAGUGUUAGAAAUGGGUACUUAUGCCUUUAAUGUUUAAUGAAUUUUCCAUGUUCAAUUUUAGUUGUUGUCAAUAAUAAUUUUAUCAUUGUUUUUGUGUAUUUGUCCAUAAUUUAUCUAACCUACUUUUUGCAAGGUUGAGUAUAUCAUCAUGCCAGGAUGGCAGCAAGAUACUGCUCAGUGCCGAACUUAUGAAGAGCUUCCACAAAAUGCACGUAAUUAUGUUGAAAAAAUUGAGGAACUUGUCUGUGUACCAGUCAAGUGGAUUGGUGUUGGAAAAUCACGAGCCUCCAUGAUUACCAUCUUCUAGGAGUUGAAGUCUUGUAGAAAGAAAGUUGGAAAUAAGAGUCCCCCACAGAGGGCCUGCAGUGUUAGUGAAGUUGAGACAGAUAGUUUUAUGUAUGUUCAACAGAAAAGUUCACCUACGAAUUGAAGAUAAAACUCGGAAUUAAAUUAACGUGUUCAAGAUUUUGGCAGUUUCAUUUAAAACUGUGUCACUUGGGAGAGAAUUUCACACACACACACACACACACACAAAAACACACACA